rnacentral:rRNA from 1 species
CACGUAGGGUGCGAGCGUUGUCCGGAAUUAUUGGGCGUAAAGAGCUCGUAGGCGGUGUGUCGCGUCGGCCGUGAAAACCUGCAGCUUAACUGUGGGCUUGCGGUCGAUACGGGCAUCACUGGAGUUCGGCAGGGGAGACUGGAAUUCCUGGUGUAGCGGUGAAAUGCGCAGAUAUCAGGAGGAACACCGGUGGCGAAGGCGGGUCUCUGGGCCGAUACUGGCGCUGAGGAGCGAAAGCGUGGGGAGCGAACAGG